CAGUCGCCGCGGGAAUACGGAGGGUGCAAGCGUUAUCCGGAUUUAUUGGGUUUAAAGGGUCCGUAGGCGGAUCUGUAAGUCAGUGGUGAAAUCUCACAGCUUAACUGUGAAACUGCCAUUGAUACUGCAGGUCUUGAGUAAAUUUGAAGUGGCUGGAAUAAGUAGUGUAGCGGUGAAAUGCAUAGAUAUUACUUAGAACACCAAUUGCGAAGGCAGGUCACUAAGAUUUAACUGACGCUGAUGGACGAAAGCGUGGGGAGCGAACAGGAUUAGAUACCCCGUAGUCCCUGUCUCUUAUACA
rnacentral:rRNA from 1 species